rnacentral:rRNA from 1 species
GACGAACGCUGGCGGCGUGCUUAACACAUGCAAGUCGAACGGAAAGGCCCUGCUUUUGUGGGCUGCUCGAGUGGCGAUCGGGUGAGUAACACGUGAGUAACCUGCCCUAGUCUUUGGGGUAACUUCAGGAAACUGGGGCUACUAUCGGACAGGAGCUGCUGCUGCAUGGUGGGGGGUGGAAAGUUUCGGCGGUUGGGGAUGGAUUCGCGGGUUAUCAGCUUGUUGGUGGGGUAGUGGCUUACCAAGGCUUUGACGGAUAGCCGGCCUGGGAGGGUGACCGGGGACAUUGGGACUGAGAGAGGGCCCAGACGCGUACGGGAGGCAGCAGUGGGGAAUAUUGCACAGUGGGCGGAAGCCUGAGGCAGCGACGCCGCGUGCGGGAAGACGGCCUUCGGGUUGUAAACAGCUUUAGCCUGUGACGAAGCGUGAGUGACGGUAAUGGGUAAAGAAGCACCGGCUAACUACGUG